UCCUCAGAGAGCGCGGCUGUCAUUUUUCCGAGAGUUUUCCAAAGACUGCUGGCUGGAAGCUUAUGGCUAAUGUGGAGACCGUAGUUUGCCAAAUUAAGAAAACGGUUCUUAACCGAAGACCCCAUCUCAGGAGAAGGUGAGGAUGGAGGUAUGGAG